CGUGCCUACGGGAGGCAGCAGUGAGGAAUAUUGGUCAAUGGCCGGAAGGCUGAACCAGCCAAGCCGCGUGAGGGAGGAAGGCGCAGAGCGUCGCAGACCUCUUUUGCCGGGGGACAAAAGGCCGGACUCGUCCGGUCCUGAGGGUACCCGGAGAAAAAGCAUCGGCUAACUCCGUGCCAGCAGCCGCGGUAAUACGGAGGAUGCGAGCGUUAUCCGGAUUAAUUGGGUUUAAAGGGUGCGCAGGCGGGCCGUUAAGCUGGCGGGGGA
rnacentral:rRNA from 1 species